rnacentral:sRNA from 1 species
AUGCAAAAAAAUUCACCUGCAUCACAGCAACAUAAGGACAGUCAUAGACCAUGUUGGAGGUCUGGAUAUGAUCACAGUGUGAAAUCUUGUAAACACUUGCACAGUAUUUGUCACUAUUGUUCAAAUGAAGGCCAUAUUGAGAGAGCAUGUUUCAAGAAGAAGAAGGAUCUAGACAAGAAACCAAGAAAAAUAUUGAAUUACUUAGAUGAUGAUGGUGACAACGAUGAACAUCAAUUUGAACCUAUACUACAUGUGCAUUCUGUGAACAAUGUGAAGAAAGUGGAUCCGAUUAUACUUCAGCUAAUGAUCAAAGGACAACAAAUUGACAUUGAACUUGAUACUGGAUUAUCUGUCUCCAUCAUACCAGAGACGUUCUAUGGGGAAAAUCUUAGUGAUGUUCUUCAAAAGACCAGGAUCAAGCUAAAUACUUUUUCGGAGAUACAGUCUCGUACUGGGCCACUGUCAUACACUGUUGACACGGGACUUGGCACCACAUGGCGACGUCAUGCUGACCAGCUUCGCAGUGCAAUCAACGAUACCAACGUGGAACCAGUUAUAGAUAUACCGGAAGUCGCCCUUCCCACAGCAACUCAUACCGCAGAAGAAAAUGAUGCGAUUCCUCCAACUGUUUUGAAAUUUCCGGUAGUGUCAGAAAAACCUUCCAAACCUUCCACAACUGUGCCAACUCAAAUGGCUCGACGCUAUCCUCAAAGAGAGAAACGGGCUCCAAAGAAGCUUAAUCUGUGAAUAAUAUUUCUGAUUACACUGUGUUUGGGAGCAUAAUAAUCUCCGUGUAGUCAGUUAGAACCAGAGGUUCUUUC